rnacentral:rRNA from 1 species
UGGAGCAAAAUCUCAACUUUAUUAGAAGAGACGCAUUUAUUAGAUAAAAAGCCAAUGCAUGCUUUUACAGUAUGAAAAUUGGUGAUUUAUAAUAACUUAGCAAAUCGCAAAGUGAAAACAGGCGAUAAAUCAUUCAAGUUUCUGACCUAUCAGCUUUCGACGGUAUGGUAUUGGCUUACCGUGGCAGUGACGGUUAACGGGGGAUUAGGGUUCGAUUCCGGAGAGGGAGCCUGAGAAACGGCUACCACAUCUAAGGAAGGCAGCAGGCGCGCAAAUUACCCAAUUCUAACAGUUUGAGAGAGGUAGUAACAAGAAAUAACAAUACAAGGCAGUUAAAAUGCUUUGUAAUUGGAAUGAUAGAAAUUUAAACCCUUUUUAAAGUAUCAAUUGGAGGGCAAGUCUGGUGCCAGCAGCCGCGGUAAUUCCAGCUCCAAUAGCGUAUAUUAAAAUUGUUGCAGUUAAAAAGCUCGUAGUUGAAGUUCUGCUAAAAGUAACCGGUCUGCUUUUAAUAAAGGUGGUAUCUUGGUGUGUAUUUAGCAAUGAUGUCCUUUGAAGUGUUUUUUACUUUAUUGUAAUAAAGCAUAUUCAGGACUUUUACUUUGAGAAAAUUAGAGUGUUUCUAGCAGGCUAACGCUUUGAAUACUGCAGCAUG